rnacentral:rRNA from 1 species
GACGAACGCUGGCGGCGUGCCUAAUACAUGCCAGUUGAGCGCUGAAGGUUGGUACUUGUACCAACUGGAUGAGCAGCGAACGGGUGAGUAACGCGUGGGGAAUCUGCCUUUGAGCGGGGGACAACAUUUGGAAACGAAUGCUAAUACCGCAUAAAAACUUUAAACACAAGUUUUAAGUUUGAAAGAUGCAAUUUCAUCAUUCAAAGAUGAUCCCGCGUUGUAUUAGCUAGUUGGUGAGGUAAAGGCUCACCAAGGCGAUGAUACAUAGCCGACCUGAGAGGGUGAGCGGCCACAUUGGGACGGAGACAGGGCCCAAACUCCUUCGGGAGGCAGCAGUAGGGAAUCUUCGGCAAUGGGCGAAAGUCUGACCGAGCAACGCCGCGUGAGUGAAGAAGGUUUUCGGAUCGUAAAACUCUGUUGGUAGAGAAGAACGUUGGUGAGAGUGGAAAGCUCAUCAAGUGACGGUAACUACCCAGAAAGGGACGGCUAACUACGUG